rnacentral:rRNA from 1 species
UGGGGAAUAUUGGACAAUGGGGGCAACCCUGAUCCAGCAAUGCCGCGUGUGUGAAGAAGGCCUUCGGGUUGUAAAGCACUUUCGAUGGGGACAAACAAGUUCGACCUAAUACGUCGGGCUCUGAUGGUACCCAGAGAAGAAGCACCGGCUAACUCUGUG